CAAACAUUAGAAUAACAGCCUUUUCUACUAGGAGCAUCAUCAUACUUUUGAUUUAUUUAAUUUCUUUUUCAGAUACUGAAUAGCUGGCAGGUGUUCUUCUAUAUACCAUGGUGUCCUCGUUCAGUGUUGUGGAGUUUGUGGAUGAGGUUGACUCCGAUGGCUGCAAGAAAAUGGACAUAAUUCCAUUCGAGUGGUUCAAGGGCACAGAGAGAAAAGUAUGCUGGUGGCCACCAGUCUCACUAUCCAAUGUAACGAAGGCUGUAAAAGAGCACACACCACCAGCCAGCAACUGGAUAGCGUGUAACGUUCGUGUAAUGGGAAACGCAGCAUCUUAUGCCGAAGCUAGGGUUAAACUCCACCAAGCUGAGUAUUCAUCAGACUUGACAGACACAGAAAAUAUCUCAAGAA